rnacentral:rRNA from 1 species
CACGUAGUUAGCCGUCCCUUUCUGGUAAGCUACCGUCACAGUGUGAACUUUCCACUCUUACACCCGUUCUUGACUUACAACAGAGCUUUACGAUCCGAAAACCUUCUUCACUCACGCGGCGUUGCUCGGUCAGGGUUGCCCCCAUUGCCGAAGAUUCCCUACUGCUGCCUCCCGUAGGAGUCUGGGCCGUGUCUCAGUCCCAGUGUGGCCGAUCACCCUCUCAGGUCGGCUAUGUAUCGUCGCCUAGGUGAGCCAUUACCUCACCUACUAGCUAAUACAACGCAGGUCCAUCUUGUAGUGGAGCAAUUGCCCCUUUCAAAUAAAUGACAUGUGUCAUCCAUUGUUAUGCGGUAUUAGCUAUCGUUUCCAAUAGUUAUCCCCCGCUACAAGGCAGGUUACCUACGCGUUACUCACCCGUUCGCAACUCAUCCAAGAAGAGCAAGCUCCUCUCUUCAGCGUUCUACUUGCAUGUAUUAGGCACGCCGCCAGCGUCG